CAUCUUUUCUUUUUUUUUUUCCAAUUAUUAAAGUUGUGCAAACCUAGCUAGCAUCAAUUAACAGGAUAAGUGAUAAAUUCUUGAAUAUAAUAAAUUCUAGCCUCCAUGGUCCAAAACCUCUACUCUCACUCCAUGGCAAUUAUUCAGCACUAAGCUGAUAGGACCUUAAAAACAUAUUCCCCUGCUCUCUCUCUUUUUUUCUUUUUAAUGCAUAAUUUACUUGGCAUAAACUAAAUUAUAUGUAGCUAACUUAAGCAUUAGAUUGCAAGGCUACACUUUUUAAAAAAAUAUAUAUCAAUUUAAUUCUUCUUUUCUCUCUCUUUCUUUUUUUUUUAAGAGAGAGAGAAAUCUAUCAAAGAGCUUCUUCUUCACUCGGGCGACAUUUCUACGCAACAUUCCUUUUAAAGCUCAAACAAAACAAAAGCAUGGAACACCAAAACAGUAGCAGUUUCUGCACAGUAGUUUUGAUUUGGAAAGAGAGAGGGAGAAUUUGUGACGAGCGAACAAGAAGAAGAAAAAAGCGGUUGAUUGUGGUGGUGGUGGAGAGUAAAAGAAGCCUCUAAAUCAGGGCCACCGUCGCUAAGAAAAAAAGAGGGCUCUCCGUUCCUGCUAUUGUGCGCUUUCGGUGAUAUUUGUUUUGUGUUUCCCGGUGUUCCCUUUUAUGGGCUGGGCCUUUGUUUUUAAUAUUUGGACUCUUAUACAGAAGGCCAACUGUGGGCUGAUCUGUAUUUCUGUAUUAGGCCAAAAGCAGAUAAAAGAAAUAUGGCAAUUUUUACUCUGCUAAAA